ACUCCUACGGGAGGCAGCAGUGGGGAAUAUUGGACAAUGGGCGAAAGCCUGAUCCAGCCAUGCCGCGUUGUGUGAAGAAGGUCUUCGGAUUGUAAAGCACUUUAAGUUGGGAGGAAGGGUUGUAAUUAAUACUCUGCAAUUUUGACGUUACCGACAGAAUAAGACCGGCUAACUCUGUGCCAGCAGCCGCGGUAAU
rnacentral:rRNA from 1 species